GAGAAACGUCAAAAUGACCGCGCGGCAUUUGUUUUGAUUUGUGCCGGAUCAAAACUAGUUGGUGCUCUACUGGCGAAAAAAUCUGGUGAACGACGUCGUGGCGUGUACCGUUUUUACGUGACGAUCAAAAUCGGUUCCGUUCGUUUCGUGCUGACCUUGGAGCACAAGCAGCAAGUGGACCAGUCGGGUGAAAUUUAUUUUCAUGUCCGAACUGAAUGUGUUAAGAAACAGCAACGGCCAAAUCUGAUACGGAUAAGCAUCGAUAGGAACCACACUACCGACCAAGUGAUGAUGGGGAAUAUUUUGCCAGUAUUAAAGAUCUGCAGGUAUCGGCGCUGCUCCGGUUGGAAACUAUAUAACGUUGUCUAUGCUCGGUCCCGUCCUGCAAAUGGGGUACCGAAUGCCAGGAGUAGUUGGAGCUGUACUAAAUUGACAUCCGGGAGCCGUAUCUUUAAGCAUUUAAAAUCAACGAACCUAUGCACUCCAAAUCAAGAUGAAGCCGUUUCCCGAUUGUCGCUUGGCAGGAAGACGAAUAAUAAUAAGAAAAUCAGCUUUGCAGGCAACAUAAAUACCCAUGGCAAGUUCUUACCAGUGCCGGAAGUGUAAAGUGAAAAUUAAAAGUUUAUUUACGUACGAAAAUCUUAAGUCAUGUUUUUUUAAAGGUUAACUGAUAAGAUUCCAACGAAAUUGGAAAGUAAUUGAAUAAAGUAAACAAAAUUUUAAUAACACUUCAUGUUGAACAUUUUUUAUUAUUUUCGAAAACAGCAAAUUCA